rnacentral:rRNA from 2 species
UUAACCGUAUAGGGGAGCCGGAGGGAAACCGAGUCUUAACCGGGCGUUAAGUUGCAGGGUAUAGACCCGAAACCCGGUGAUCUAGCCAUGGGCAGGUUGAAGGUUGGGUAACACUAACUGGAGGACCGAACCGACUAAUGUUGAAAAAUUAGCGGAUGACCUGUGGCUGGGGGUGAAAGGCCAAUCAAACCGGGAGAUAGCUGGUUCUCCCCGAAAGCUAUUUAGGUAGCGCCUCGUGAAUUCAUCUCCGGGGGUAGAGCACUGUUUCGGCUAGGGGGCCAUCCCGGCUUACCAACCCGAUGCAAACUGCGAAUACCGGAGAAUGUUAUCACGGGAGACACACGGCGGGUGCUAACGUCCGUCGUGAAGAGGGAAACAACCCAGACCGCCAGCUAAGGUCCCAAAGUCAUGGUUAAGUGGGAAACGAUGUGGGAAGGCCCAGACAGCCAGGAUGUUGGCUUAGAAGCAGCCAUCAUUUAAAGAAAGCGUAAUAGCUCACUGGUCGAGUCGGCCUGCGCGGAAGAUGUAACGGGGCUAAACCAUGCACCGAAGCUGCGGCAGCGACGCUGAUGCGUUGUUGGGUAGGGGAGCGUUCUGUAAGCCUGCGAAGGUGGCCUGUGAGGGUUGCUGGAGGUAUCAGAAGUGCGAAUGCUGACAUAAGUAACGAUAAAGCGGGUGAAAAGCCCGCUCGCCGGAAGACCAAGGGUUCCUGUCCAACGUUAAUCGGGGCAGGGUGAGUCGACCCCUAAGGCGAGGCCGAAAGGCGUAGUCGAUGGGAAACGGGUUAAUAUUCCCGUACUUGGUGUUACUGCGAAGGGGGGACGGAGAAGGCUAUGUUGGCCGGGCGACGGUU